rnacentral:rRNA from 1 species
UACGUAGGUGGCAAGCGUUGUCCGGAAUUAUUGGGCGUAAAGAGCUCGUAGGCGGUCUGUUACGUCCGCUGUGAAAACCCAGGGCUUAACCCUGGGCUUGCAGUGGAUACGGGUAGACUAGAGGCAGGUAGGGGAGAAUGGAAUUCCCGGUGUAGCGGUGAAAUGCGCAGAUAUCGGGAGGAACACCGGUGGCGAAGGCGGUUCUCUGGGCCUGACCUGACGCUGAGGAGCGAAAGCGUGGGGAGCGAACAGG